GGGCGCUUGAGAGAACUCGGGUGAAGGAACUAGGCAAAAUGGCACCGUAACUUCGGGAGAAGGUGCGCCGGUGAGGGUGAAGCAUUUACUGCGUAAGCCCAUGCCGGUCGAAGAUACCAGGCCGCUGCGACUGUUUAUUAAAAACACAGCACUCUGCAAACACGAAAGUGGACGUAUAGGGUGUGACGCCUCCCCGGUGCCGGAAGGUUAAUUGAUGGGGUUAGCUAACGCGAAGCUCUUGAUCGAAGCCCCGGUAAACGGCGGCCGUAACGAUAACGGUCCUAAGGUAGCGAAAUUCCUUGUCGGGUAAGUUCCGACCUGCACGAAUAGCGUAACGAUGGCGGCGCUGUCUCCACCCGAGACUCAGUGAAAUUGAAAUCGCUGUGAAGAUGCAGUGUAUCCGCGGCUAGAUGGAAAGACCCCGUGAACCUUUACUAUAGCUUUGCACUGGACUUUGAAUUUGCUUGUGUAGGAUAGGUGGGAGGCUUUGAAGCGUAGACGCCAGUUCGCGUGGAGCCAACCUUGAAAUACCACCCUGGCAACUUUGAGGUUCUAACUCAGGUCCGUUAUCCGGAUCGAGGACAGUGUAUGGUGGGUAGUUUGACUGGGGCGGUCUCCUCCUAAAGAGUAACGGAGGAGUACGAAGGUGCGCUCAGACCGGUCGGAAAUCGGUCGUAGAGUAUAAAGGCAAAAAGCGCGCUUGACUGCGAGACAGACACGUCGAGCAGGUACGAAAGUAGGUCUUAGUGAUCCGGUGGUUCUGUAUGGAAGGGCCAUCGCUCAACGGAUAAAAGGUACUCCGGGGAUAACAGGCUGAUACCGCCCAAGAGUUCAUAUCGACGGCGGUGCUUGGCACCUCGAUGUCGGCUCAUUACAUCCUGGGGCUGAAGCCGGUCCCAAGGGUAUGGCUGUUCGCCAUUUAGAGUGGUACGCGAGCUGGGUUUAGAACGUCGUGAGACAGUUCGGUCCCUAUCUGCCGUGGACGUUUGAGAUUUGAGAGGGGCUGCUCCUAGUACGAGAGGACCGGAGUGGACGAACCUCUGGUGUUCCGGUUGUCACGCCAGUGGCAUUGCCGGGUAGCUAUGUUCGGAAUAGAUAACCGCUGAAAGCAUCUAAGCGGGAAACUAGCCUCAAGAUGAGAUCUCACUGGGACCUUGAGUCCCCUGAAGGGCCGUCGAAGACUACGACGUUGAUAGGUUGGGUGUGUAAGCGCUGUGAGGCGUUGAGCUAACCAAUACUAAUUGCCCGUGAGGCUUGAUC
rnacentral:rRNA from 1 species